CUCUUUUGCCAAGUAGGGGAAAUAGCCAUCCCUGUUUCUCAUCCUUGGUAAAUGUUGUAAGAAGAAAUAUUUUGAAUGAGAUGGAGAGUGUGGAGCCAUAUGGAUAGUGAGCUCCUGGAGGGAAGACCCUGCAGCUUCUACAAUGGUGACUGAGAAAGAGUAGACACUCAGGAUGUUGAAUGAAUCUAUAAAACGUAUGGAAUUUGAAUUGGUGGAUAUGUGACAUGAGGAUCAAGUAAAAGUGUAUUUCUCCCCAUACUUUCAGCCACACUCCCCAAUAUCAUUUGGCCAUAACAUUCCUUUCCAAGACUGUAUUGGAGAUUCAAUAAGAUAUGGAAAAAAUACCUAAGACAGUGCCUGGUAGACAGCAGGCACCGGAGAUGGAAGACAGCCCGUCUGCAUUACAGUAGUCCCCCUUGUUGUGGGGGAUACGUUCCAAGACCCCCAGUGGACGCCUGAAACUGCAGGUAGUACUGAACCCUAUAUAUACUGUGUUUUUUCCAGUACGUAUAUAUUUGAGGUGCAACAGCAAAAGUAUUUCUUUUCCUUCUUAGCAGUUUCACGGAUAGAAGUUUUGUUCUUACUGUAGAUCUCAGCAUCCUCAACAUGCGAUUUUUUUCUUUCCUUAUUAAGUUGGGAACUUUCAGUUUUUCACUUAAAGGAAGCACUUUAUGGCUUCUCUUCGGCAUAUCCGAAUUGUCACCAUGACUACUCUUGCACUUUGGGGCCAUUAUUAAGUAAAAUAAGGGUUACUUGAACACAAGCACUGCGAUACUGCGACAGUCGAUGUGAUAACCGAGUUGGCUAACAAACAACUAACAGGCAGGUGGCGUAUACAGUGUGGAUAUGCUGCACACAGGGAUGAUUCAUGCCCCAAGAGGGACAGAGCAGGACAGCACAAGAUUUCAUUACGUUACUCAGAACGGCACACAAUUGAAAACUUAUGAAUUGUUUAUUUCUGGAAUUUUCCAUUUCAUAUUUUCAGACCACAGUUGACAGCAGGUUACCAAAACCGCAAAAAGUGAAACCUCAAAUAAGGGGGCACUACUGAAGUUUUGUUCUGCAAAAUGUGGGUUGGAAACCUGCAUAAUGAGUUUUCAUAAGAAAGGCAAGACUUGCUGAUGACCUCUGUGGACUUCAAUUUCUUCCUCUAUUUAUAUGCAAACUAAAUAGUAUGGUCUCUCCUAGUGGGGAAAACUCUGAAAAUUCCAUGCCUCUCUAAUCACAGCCACUAGAGCUCCCAUUUCUCAGAUUCUCUUGCAAAGUGGAUGUCAAGGCAGCUCUCUCCUCUGUAGGAUUGCUACAGAAGGAAGAGAAGCCCCUGGAAGCCUGGCAGAAGCUGCAUUUUCCUCCGUGGCCCCUCCUCCGGAGCUGCGCUGCGCUGCGUGUUGUUGCAGUUGUACUGUACUGUUCUACCGCAUGGAUUCAUAGUUAACAUUUUUCUUCCAGGCACAUUCAAAACAUUUGGCUUGCAUCCUCCUUGAGCUGUUUUAUAAGGGCAAUAACCGAGGCCAGGGUGUGCUCUUGUCAGCAGGCAAAGCACGCAGCGGAGGCUGCCAAAGAGUUUCCUGCUCAGGGGCCACCCAUCCUUGGCUGCAGGACACAAGGCUGGAGCUCAUGGCAACUUGCACAGAGCGAGCGCCGGGACUUUCUGUUCUCAGGGCUCAUGCUUUGGAUUCCAGCCUUCAGCCCUGCUGCAUUGAUCAGUGGAGGCUGUUGUGUUUGUGCUUGUUUGGGACGAGCUCAGAACACAUGUCACAGCAGUGGUUCAAGGCCUAGCUCUAAGGCUUGGAGCUGGGAGAAUGCUCUUUAAAGACUAGCAAGCCGCUCUUCCCGCCUGUUAAUGCAGGCACAGAGUUCCCACGGAUCAGCUGCAGGGGAGAAAGGCAUUCCCUUCAUCCCACUCUCUGUGAAUUAACUUCGGGAAGGACAGACAACACAGACGCCAAAUGGAGGGUUCCAACACUGCUACCCCACCCUCUCUGAAGUCCACCUUGGCAGAAGCGGAUCUCUUCUCAUGUGUUAUUUAUUGCCAAAGACCGUGACCGGGAGAAUCCGCAAUAGAUCCCUGAAGCUGUUUUUUCAGGAUUUCCUUUGAUUGGAAGCUCUUGGCUGUGCCUUCUGCAGCUGGCUCUGUCACAGAGCUGAGGGCUCAGAGUGUCCCCCAAGUGACAGCUGCCAUGCCAGCACAAAGGAGGGUCUGGCUGUGAAAGUGCCUUGAUGCUCUAAAGAACACACAAAUGGACAGGGUAUUGUUACUCCUUCACUCACCAGCAGGGAGGCAAUGCGAUGUCAUGAGCGGAAGGAACACGGGCUCAAGCCCCAGAGACGCAAGUUGAAAUGUCAGCUCUUCCACUGACCCACAGUGUGGGCUUGGUCUCAGUCUUCUCGUCUGUAAAAUGGCAAUGAAAAGAUUUACCCCCAAACUUUCAGCCAAGAAUCAAUAAGACACAGCAUGCAAUGUUCAGCUCCUUUCCUCUAAAUUCCAAACUUAGUCUGGAAAUUUUAAAGCCGUUUAGAUGACCCUAAAUACUUUCUUUAUCUUUUUCAUUUAUCCAUUAUUCAUUCUGUCAGCAUUCAAUAAAUAAGAAAGAAUAUUUCAG
ensembl:lncRNA